rnacentral:rRNA from 1 species
GACGAACGCUGGCGGCGUGCUUAACACAUGCAAGUCGAACGGAAAGGCCCUGCUUUUGUGGGGUGCUCGAGUGGCGAACGGGUGAGUAACACGUGAGUAACCUGCCCUUGACUUUGGGAUAACGUCAGGAAACUGGGGCUAAUACCGGAUAGGAGCUCCUGCUGCAUGGUGGGGGUUGGAAAGUUUCGGCGGUUGGGGAUGGACUGGCGGCUUAUCAGCUUGUUGGUGGGGUAGUGGCUUACCAAGGCUUUGACGGGUAGCCGGCCUGAGAGGGUGACCGGCGACAUUGGGACUGAGAUACGGCCCAGACUCCUACGGGAGGCAGCAGUGGGGAAUAUUGCACAAUGGGCGGAAGCCUGAUGCAGCAGCGCCGCGUGCGGGAUGACGGCCUUCGGGUUGUAAACCGCUUUCGGCUGUGACGAAGCGUGAGUGACGGUAAUGGGUAAAGAAGCACCGGCUAACUACGUG